UUGAAUCUGGGGUGCGCGUAUAGGCGAGAUGAUUAUUAACCCUAACUUAUAAAAAGGGAUGGCGAAAGUUCAUGGCCGGAUGUCAUGCCCCCUAUGAUAUCAUAGCCAGGGGAAGGCAGAAAAGCCAGACAGCCGACCCACCUGCACAUCGCGGGUUUACAAUCCUCGUAUUAUACGGCAUCUUGGAAACAAA
rnacentral:other from 1 species